rnacentral:rRNA from 1 species
UACGUAGGGUGCAAGCGUUAAUCGGAAUUACUGGGCGUAAAGCGUGCGCAGGCGGUUUUGUAAGUCUGACGUCAAAUCCCCGGGCUCAACCUGGGAAUUGCGUUGGAGACUGCAAGGCUAGAAUCUGGCAGAGGGGGGUAGAAUUCCACGUGUAGCAGUGAAAUGCGUAGAGAUGUGGAGGAACACCGAUGGCGAAGGCAGCCCCCUGGGUCAAGAUUGACGCUCAUGCACGAAAGCGUGGGGAGCAAACAGG